rnacentral:rRNA from 1 species
UACAGAGGGUGCAAGCGUUGUUCGGAAUUAUUGGGCGUAAAGCGCGUGUAGGCGGCUUUGCAAGUCGGGUGUGAAAGCCCUCAGCUUAACUGAGGAAGUGCGCCCGAAACUGCUAAGCUUGAGUACCGGAGAGGAUGGCGGAAUUCCCGAAGUAGAGGUGAAAUUCGUAGAUAUCGGGAGGAACACCGGUGGCGAAGGCGGCCAUCUGGACGGAUACUGACGCUGAGACGCGAAAGCGUGGGUAGCAAACAGG